AAGUAAAAAUAAAAACGAAAUCCUAUUCCUGCUUAACCUUGAGAGUUCUUUUCUGGCUAUCACCUCUACUCAUCUUCUCAAAGAAAAGCGAUUUAGGUAAUCCUUCAAACUUUCCAUCUUCACAGGCACUCAAAUAGUUAAGGAGAUUCGUGAUUUUGUAAAAGGUGAUGAUAUUAGAGGAAUGAUACAUGAUGCAUUUGGAGGUGAUACACAGUUUAUGGAUAGUGAUGCCAAUGAUAGGGGCAAGAUGGAGCCAAACCUAUAGCAAAACACUACUCAUCCAUCUGAAAAUCAUUCUCAUCCAGAGGUGGAUAAGUUUGAAUGUCUUAUGAAGGAGGCAAAUGAAGAAUUAUAUCUUGAAUGUCCGAAAUUAAGCAAAUUAUCCUUCUUACUACAUAUCUAUUGUUCAAAAUACAUGUUCAAAUAAAUCUUUUGAUUCUUUUCUUGGGCUAUUGAAGGACUACCAGAAGGUGAAAAAUUGGCUCCUUUUUUUAUGAGACCAAAAAGAUAAUUGAAGGUCUGGGAUUAAA